AGAGUUUGAUCCUGGCUCAGGACGAACGCUGGCGGCGUGCUUAACACAUGCAAGUCGAGCGGUAAGGCCCUUCGGGGUACACGAGCGGCGAACGGGUGAGUAACACGUGGGUGAUCUGCCCUGUACUUCGGGAUAAGCCUGGGAAACUGGGUCUAAUACCGGAUAUGACCUUCGGUUGCAUGACCGUGGGUGGAAAGAUUUAUCGGUACAGGAUGGGCCCGCGGCCUAUCAGCUUGUUGGUGGGGUAAUGGCCUACCAAGGCGACGACGGGUAGCCGGCCUGAGAGGGCGACCGGCCACACUGGGACUGAGACACGGCCCAGACUCCUACGGGAGGCAGCAGUGGGGAAUAUUGCACAAUGGGCGAAAGCCUGAUGCAGCGACGCCGCGUGAGGGAUGACGGCCUUCGGGUUGUAAACCUCUUUCGACAGGGACGAAGCGCAAGUGACGGUACCUGUAGAAGAAGCACCGGCCAACUACGUG
rnacentral:rRNA from 1 species